CUGUGUUCAGGUGCAGUGGUAAACGUGCCGUGAGGGGCAGGCGCUCGGGGCCUGAUCAUGACCUGAUAAUCCAAUAACAGACUCAAAGUCAGAGAAUAUGGAAAAUCAGCUUGGCAGUACAAGGUCAAAAGUAGUAGCAGUGAAAAAAAACAACUGAUCCCAAGUUGCCAACGUGGGAAUCAGAGUUCCAAGGACAGCCUUCAAGACUGCCAAAGGGAACACUAAACUCGACUCACAGUUUCAGCCCACCCAGGGUUCAGAGCUGAACCAGGGGACAGAGAGCUC
rnacentral:lncRNA from 1 species